GAUGAACGCUGGCGGCGUGCUUAACACAUGCAAGUCGAACGGUGAACGAGGGAGCUUGCUCCCUCCGGAUCAGUGGCGAACGGGUGAGUAACACGUGAGCAAUCUGCCCUGGACUCUGGGAUAAGCGUUGGAAACGACGUCUAAUACCGGAUACGAGGCGUGGGGGCAUCCCCAACGCCUGGAAAGAACUUCGGUCCAGGAUGAGCUCGCGGCCUAUCAGGUAGUUGGUGAGGUAAUGGCUCACCAAGCCUACGACGGGUAGCCGGCCUGAGAGGGUGACCGGACAAACUGGGACUGAGACACGGACCAGACCCCUACGGGAGGCAGCAGUGGGGAAUAUUGCACAAUGGGCGAAAGCCUGAUGCAGCAACGCCGCGUGAGGGACGACGGCCUUCGGGUUGUAAACCUCUUUUAGCAGGGAAGAAGCGAAAGUGACGGUACCUGCAGAAAAAGCACCGGCUAACUACGUGCCAGCCGCCGCGGUAACAC
rnacentral:rRNA from 1 species